AACGAACGCUGGCGGCGUGCCUAACACAUGCAAGUCGAACGAGACGGUCGGGUUUUGGUGCGCACCGGGGGGUAAGGCCUGGGGAGUAGCCCUUGGGUUCCCUAUAACUCCCCGUGAGGGGUGCUAAUACCGCAGAAUGUCUUAGCACCAAAGAUCUUUGGCCUCAGGAUGGGGCCGGGUUAGCUUAGCGGGUUGGUAGGGUAAAAGCCUACCAACGCGACGUUGCAUGGCUGGUCUGGGAGCAUGCUCAUCCACACUGGGACUGCGACACGGCCCAGACUCCUACGGGAGGCAGCAGUGGGGAAUAUUGGACGAUGGGCGAAAGCCUGAUCCAGCCAUGCCGCGUGAGUGAGGAAGGGCGUAGGGUUGUAAAGCUCUUUUACCCGGGAUGAUAGUGACAGUACCGGGUGAAUAAGCUCCGGCUAACUCCGUG
rnacentral:rRNA from 1 species